rnacentral:rRNA from 1 species
GUAUGGAAGGGCCAUCGCUCAACGGAUAAAAGGUACUCGGGGAUAACAGGCUGAUACCGCCCAAGAGUUCAUAUCGACGGCGGUGUUUGGCACCUCGAUGUCGGCUCAUCACAUCCUGGGGCUGAAGCCGGUCCCAAGGGUAUGGCUGUUCGCCAUUUAAAGUGGUACGCGAGCUGGGUUUAGAACGUCGUGAGACAGUUCGGUCCCUAUCUGCCGUGGACGUUUGAGAUUUGAGAGGGGCUGCUCCUAGUACGAGAGGACCGGAGUGGACGAACCUCUGGUGUUCCGGUUGUCACGCCAGUGGCAUUGCCGGGUAGCUAUGUUCGGAAAAGAUAACCGCUGAAAGCAUCUAAGCGGGAAACUUGCCUCAAGAUGAGAUCUCACUGGGAACUUGAUUCCCCUGAAGGGCCGUCGAAGACUACGACGUUGAUAGGCUGGGUGUGUAAGCGUUGUGAGGCGUUGAGCUAACCAGUACUAAUUGCCCGUGAGGCUUGACCAUAUAACACCCAAACA